rnacentral:lncRNA from 1 species
CCACACCUGCAGUAAAUACAUAAUAUUUUAGACUACUCUGUUUAAUAUAAUUUUAUUUGUUCACUCUAUUUUCUUCCAUUAUUACCACUCUACUGUAUACAUACAUUCUACUUUUUAUAAUUUAGACAUUUAACACCAGGAACAUAGAAUAAUCUCUGCCUAUGUAGUGAUCUACAUUAACUCACAUAGUAAAGUAAUAGGCAUGAGAAAUAUAAACAACUAGUCCGAUACAAACGCCAAUGUAUAUUUCAUAUAAAACUGAACUAAACUGGAAUCUGAAUGUCCUAUAUAUGCACAAACAGGAUGCAUAGCCGGAACAAUAUUCAGAUUACGUCAUGGGUGGCCAUGUGAUCUUCAAGAUCUCUGGGAAUAUCAAACACGACAUCGCACACACAACAAACAUAUCCAACACCAGUUGGUUUCGUCGAUUCCAGUUCUUGACAUAAACCACAUUGAUAGUUUCCAUCAUUACCAUGUUGCCUUGCUAUAUGUUGAACCAAUGUCAUAAAAUUUGAGAAUCGUUUGUUACAUUUGUUACAAGCGUACUUUCCCGUGUUUUUAUCCUGAACAAAAUGUUCUUGCAAAUUUUGUGGUUGAGUAAUCUCCAUUUGGCAACUAUUGCAGAACAAAUGCUUCUUUUUGUGCCAAUUAAGACUUGCUAUUUGUACAAAUUUCUUCUUACAAACAUCACAUUCAUAAGGUUCGUGUCCAGUGUGUGUUCUUUUAUGUCUAACCAAAUGAUCUGAUCUUUUAAAUUUCCUCUUACAAAGAUCACAUUCAUAAGGCUUGUCUACAGUGUGUGUUCUUAUGUGUGUCGUUAGACUACCUGAUUGGCUAAAUCUCUUCUUGCAAACAUCACAUUCAUAAGGUUUGUCCCCAGUAUGUGUUCUUUUGUGUAUAGUUAAAUCACCUGAUUGUAUAAAUCUCUUCUUACAAACAUCACAUUAAUAAGGCUUGUCCCCAGUGUGUCUUUUUUUAUGGUACACCAGGCUGUUCGAAUGUUUAAAUUUCAUGUUACAAACAUCGCAUUCAUAAGGCUUGUCUCCAGUGUGUGUUCGUUGAUGUGAUGCUAAAUUACCUGAAUGUCUAAAUAUCUUCUUGCAAACUUUACAUUCAUAAGGCUUGUCUCCAGUGUGUGUUCUUUUUAUAUGUACAGCUAAAUUACCUGAUUGUGCAAAUUUAUUCUUAGAAACAUCGCAUUCAUAAGGCUUGUCCCCAGUGUGUGUUCUCUUAUGUUUUACCAAAGCAUCUGAUCUUUUAAAUUUCUUCCUACAAACAUCACAUUCAUAAGGCCUGUCUCCAGUGUGUAUUCGUUUGUGCGUUGCUAAAUUACCAGAUUGUGCAAAUUUCUUCUUACAAACAUCACAUUCAUAAGGCUUGUUUCCGGUGUGUGUUCGUUUAUGUGUUGCUAAAUUACCAGAUUGUGCGAAUUUCUUCUUACAAACAUCGCAUUCAUAAGGUUUGUCUCCAGUGUGUGUCCUUUUUUGUAUAGCUAAAUAAUCAGAUCUGUUCAAUCUCUUCUGACAAACAUCACAUUCAAAAGGUUUCUUUUCAUAAUUUCGUGUUCCUCUUUGGUUCACCGAGCUGCCUGAUGUUAAAAAUCUCUGCUCACAAUGAUCAGACAUUUUAUAUCUGAUGAUCAGACAUUAUUAUCAAAACUAUAUAUAGAAAUCGCGUUAACGUUGUUUAAUAUAUCUUCAACAGAGUGACAAAUUUUACAGUAAAGAAGUCUGGUUAGUUCAGACCCAAAAUCGAUGAAAUUAUAAUAACAUUCGAAUCAAAAUGGACUGAAUUUUAUU